AACGAACGCUGGCGGCAUGCCUAACACAUGCAAGUCGAACGAGACCUUCGGGUCUAGUGGCGCACGGGUGCGUAACGCGUGGGAACCUGCCCUUAGGUUCGGAAUAACUCCCCGAAAGGGGUGCUAAUACCGGAUAAUGUCUUCGGACCAAAGAUUUAUCGCCUUUGGAUGGGCCCGCGUUGGAUUAGCUAGUUGGUAGGGUAAAAGCCUACCAAGGCGACGAUCCAUAGCUGGUCUGAGAGGAUGAUCAGCCACACUGGGACUGAGACACGGCCCAGACUCCUACGGGAGGCAGCAGUGGGGAAUAUUGGACAAUGGGCGAAAGCCUGAUCCAGCAAUGCCGCGUGAGUGAUGAAGUCCUUAGGGUUGUAAAGCUCUUUUACCCGGGAUGAUAAUGACAGUACCGGGAGAAUAAGCGCCGGCUAACUCCGUG
rnacentral:rRNA from 1 species